rnacentral:rRNA from 1 species
UACGGAGGGGACUAGCGUUGUUCGGAAUUACUGGGCGUAAAGCGCACGUAGGCGGAUUUGUAAGUCAGGGGUGAAAUCCCGGGGCUCAACCUCGGAACUGCCUUUGAUACUGCAAAUCUUGAGUCCGGAAGAGGUGAGUGGAAUUCCUAGUGUAGAGGUGAAAUUCGUAGAUAUUAGGAAGAACACCAGUGGCGAAGGCGGCUCACUGGUCCGGUACUGACGCUGAGGUGCGAAAGCGUGGGGAGCGAACAGG